rnacentral:tRNA from 1 species
GGAGAGAUGCUCGAGUGGCUGAAGAGGCACGAUUGGAAAUCGUGUGUACCCCAAAAGGGUAUCUAGGGUUCGAAUCCCUAUCUCUCCG